GAAACAGGCAGCCUAAUGAGUCUAGUUAUUUUAAGCGUCAGUACAUAUAAGUGUUCAAGCCUUAAUCUCUACAAUGACUCGUUUUUCUGUUUUGAGUUCGAUUCUUAAUUUUGUUUUCAAUAUUGAAAUAUUUAAUGCUCAAAUAUACAAUAUAGUGUAAUAGUAUAAUUAUAGUAUACAUUAUAUACAUGUUAUUUGUUGUAAAUUAAUUAACUAAAUUUAAUUAAAAACGAAAUUACAUAUUUAAUCAAAAGAAAAACUAAAACAAUUUCGAAAAUGUCAGAUGCAAGAAAUGAUAAAAUUAAAGUAGAUCUAGGUCUUUUAGAAGAGGAUGAUGAAUUUGAAGAAUUUCCUGCCGAAGAUUGGACAGCUAAAGAUGAGGACAAUGAAGAUAUCAGUGUAUGGGAAGAUAAUUGGGACGAUGAUGAUGUGGAGGAUGAUUUUAAUCAACAAUUAAGGUUUUUAUUAUUAAAAAAAUUAUAUUAAAAUGUCUGCGAGUGAUGCCGAAAGUGAAGAGGAGUUACAAUUAAUUCAUUCAGAAAUACUGGAAGUUGCGUAAACGUAAAGAUUGAUACAUUGCCAUUGAAAUAUCAGAAAAGCUAUUGGCAAACGUACAGUAAUUUUAAUAAAUAAAGGCUACAUAAAAACAUCAAGAUGUCCUCAAUUCGAUGCUAGCAUAUUUUGGCGAACUGGCUAUAAAGUAUAAGCCGUCUACACUAUUAAGUCACAAUUGGACAAACUAAUAAAAUCACAAUGUGAUUCUAUUAAAGAAAACUAGUUGUAUCUACCAUCAUGAAAAACAAAUUUUGUAAUAAAGUUCAACUAUAAAUGAAAA